CCUACGCGAGGCAGCAGUGGGGAAUAUUGGGCAAUGGGCGCAAGCCUGAACCAGCAACGCCGCGUGAAGGACGACGGCUUUCUGGUUUUUAAAUUCUUUUUUCAGGGACGUAGCAAGUGACGGUACAUGAUGAAUAAGCCUCGGCUAACUACGUGCCAGCAGCCACGGUAAUCCGUAGGUUGCAAGCGUAAUCCGGAUUUACUGGGUGUAAAGGGCGUGUAGGCGGUAAAGAAAGUCAGAUGUGAAAACCAUGGGCUCAACCUGUGGCUUGCAUUUGAUAUUGUUUUUCUUGAGUUCAGGGGAGGCAGACGGAAUUCCUAGUGUAGCGGGGAAAUGCUUAGAGAUUAGGAGGAACACCAGUGGCGAAGGCGGUCUGCUAGACAGCAACUGACGCUGAGGCUCGAAAGCGUGGGGAGCAAACAGGAUUAGAUACCCGGGUAGUC
rnacentral:rRNA from 1 species